UCUCUUAUGGUCUGAUCCAGAUGAUCGUUGUGGUUGGGGAAUUUCUCCACGAGGAGCUGGAUACACUUUUGGACAAGAUAUCUCUCAACAGUUCAACCACACUAAUGGGCUUACUCUCAUUUCUAGAGCUCACCAGCUUGUCAUGGAAGGAUACAAUUGGUCCCAGGACAAGAAUGUGGUUACUGUUUUCAGUGCACCAAACUACUGCUAUCGGUGUGGGAAUAUGGCUGCAAUACUUGAGAUUGGGGAUAAUAUGGAGCAGAAUUUCCUUCAAUUUGAUCCAGCACCACGUCAGGUUGAACCUGACACCACACGCAGAACUCCUGACUAUUUUUUGUAAUUGUCAUAGCAUGCCCUCAGCGGGCAAUUUUUCAAAUUCUCUGUCAUGGUUUUGUAGAGGUAUCUUAUAGAAUAGGGGAUUUUUUGGGGUUUACCUGAUAAAGGGACAAAAAGAAACAUUGUUAUUGUCAUUCUUUUGGUUGGAAUUGUUCUACUGGUUCUGCAUUUAUGUGAAUUUAUAGGUUACUUUGUAGUUGGUUUUUGUCUUGUAUUUUAGAAAGUGAAGGAACAGCAAUAACAAGGUAUUCUUAUGCGAUUGCACACUCAAAUUAUUUUUCAUUUAUAUUAUCAAAUGGAUAAAUUGUUC
rnacentral:misc_RNA from 1 species